UACGGAGGGGGCUAGCGUUGUUCGGAAUUACUGGGCGUAAAGCGCACGUAGGCGGCUUUGUAAGUUAGAGGUGAAAGCCCGGGGCUCAACCCCGGAAUUGCCUUUAAGACUGCAUCGCUUGAAUCCAGGAGAGGUGAGUGGAAUUCCGAGUGUAGAGGUGAAAUUCGUAGAUAUUCGGAAGAACACCAGUGGCGAAGGCGGCUCACUGGACUGGUAUUGACGCUGAGGUGCGAAAGCGUGGGGAGCAAACCGG
rnacentral:rRNA from 1 species